rnacentral:rRNA from 1 species
GUAGUCCACGCCCUAAACGAUGCGAACUGGAUGUUGGGUUCAACUUGGAACCCAGUAUCGAAGCUAACGCGUUAAGUUCGCCGCCUGGGGAGUACGGUCGCAAGACUGAAACUCAAAGGAAUUGACGGGGGCCCGCACAAGCGGUGGAGUAUGUGGUUUAAUUCGAUGCAACGCGAAGAACCUUACCUGGUCUUGACAUCCACGGAACUUUCCAGAGAUGGAUUGGUGCCUUCGGGAACCGUGAGACAGGUGCUGCAUGGCUGUCGUCAGCUCGUGUCGUGAGAUGUUGGGUUAAGUCCCGCAACGAGCGCAACCCUUAUUCUUAGUUGCCAACAUUUAAGGUGGGGACUCUAAGAAGACUGCCUGCGCAAGCAGAGAGGAAGGAGGGGAUGACGUCAAGUCAUCAUGGCCCUUACGCCCAGGGCUACACACGUGCUACAAUGGCGUAUACAGAGUGUUGCAAGCUGGUGACAGUGAGCCAAUCACAAAAAGUACGUCUCAGUUCGGAUUGCAGGCUGCAACUCGCCUGCAUGAAGUUGGAAUCGCUAGUAAUCGCGCAUCAGCAAUGGCGCGGUGAAUA